AAACGGAGGAACAUGGACGUGGC
rnacentral:piRNA from 1 species